rnacentral:rRNA from 1 species
GUGGGGAAUAUUGGACAAUGGGGGGAACCCUGAUCCAGCCAUGCCGCGUGUGUGAAGAAGGCCUUUUGGUUGUAAAGCACUUUAAGCGAGGAGGAGGCUACCGAGAUUAAUACUCUUGGAUAGUGGACGUUACUCGCAGAAUAAGCACCGGCUAACUCUGUGCCAGCAGCCGCGGUAAUACAGAGGGUGCAAGCGUUAAUCGGAUUUACUGGGCGUAAAGCGCGCGUAGGUGGCCAAUUAAGUCAAAUGUGAAAUCCCCGAGCUUAACUUGGGAAUUGCAUUCGAGACUGGUUGGCUAGAGUAUGGGAGAGGAUGGUAGAAUUCCAGGUGUAGCGGUGAAAUGCGUAGAGAUCUGGAGGAAUACCGAUGGCGAAGGCAGCCAUCUGGCCUAAUACUGACACUGAGGUGCGAAAGCAUGGGGAGCAAACAGGAUUAGAAACCCCGGUAGUCC